rnacentral:rRNA from 1 species
AACGAACGCUGGCGGCAUGCCUAACACAUGCAAGUCGAACGAAGCCUUCGGGCUUAGUGGCGCACGGGUGCGUAACACGUGGGAAUCUGCCCUUCGGUUCGGAAUAACAGUUAGAAAUGACUGCUAAUACCGGAUGAUGACGUAAGUCCAAAGAUUUAUCGCCGAAGGAUGAGCCCGCGUAGGAUUAGGUAGUUGGUAGGGUAAUGGCCUACCAAGCCGACGAUCCUUAGCUGGUCUGAGAGGAUGAUCAGCCACACUGGGACUGAGACACGGCCCAGACUCCUACGGGAGGCAGCAGUGGGGAAUAUUGGACAAUGGGCGAAAGCCUGAUCCAGCAAUGCCGCGUGAGUGAUGAAGGCCUUAGGGUUAUAAAGCUCUUUUACCAGGGAUGAUAAUGACAGUACCUGGAGAAUAAGCUCCGGCUAACUCCGUGCCAGCAGCCGCGGUAAU